rnacentral:misc_RNA from 1 species
UUUCCGUAGGUGAACCUGCGGAAGGAUCAUUGUCGAAACCUGCCCAGCAGAACGACCCGCGAACUUGUAUAUACAACCGGGGGCGGGGGGCGUUCUCGCCCCGUGCCCCCGAACGGCGGGGAGACACUCGUGCCUUCUUGCCGAACAACGAACCCCGGCGCGGUCUGCGCCAAGGAACUUCAACUAAAGAGUGCCUCCGGUCGCCUCGGAAACGGCGUGCGUGCCGGGGGCGAAUCUUGUGCAAAACCAUAACGACUCUCGGCAACGGAUAUCUCGGCUCUC